rnacentral:rRNA from 1 species
UGAGGAAUAUUGGUCAAUGGACGGAAGUCUGAACCAGCCAAGUAGCGUGCAGGAUGACGGCCCUAUGGGUUGUAAACUGCUUUUGUAUGAGGAUAAAGUUAGGGACGUGUCCCUAUUUGCAGGUACCAUACGAAUAAGGACCGGCUAAUUCCGUGCCAGCAGCCGCGGUAAUACGGAAGGUCCAGGCGUUAUCCGGAUUUAUUGGGUUUAAAGGGAGCGUAGGCUGGAGAUUAAGUGUGUUGUGAAAUGUAGACGCUCAACGUCUGAAUUGCAGCGCAUACUGGUUUCCUUGAGUACGCACAACGUUGGCGGAAUUCGUCGUGUAGCGGUGAAAUGCUUAGAUAUGACGAAGAACUCCGAUUGCGAAGGCAGCUGACGGGAGCGCAACUGACGCUUAAGCUCGAAGGUGCGGGUAUCAAACAGGAUUAGAUACCCUGGUAGUCCGCACAGUAAACGAUGGAUGCCCGCUGUUGGUACCUGGUAUCAGCGGCUAAGCGAAAGCAUUAAGCAUCCCACCUGGGGAGUACGCCGGCAACGGUG